UACGUAGGGUCCGAGCGUUGUCCGGAAUUACUGGGCGUAAAGAGCUCGUAGGUGGUUUGUCGCGUUGUUCGUGAAAACUCACGGCUCAACUGCGGGCGUGCGGGCGAUACGGGCAGACUUGAGUACUGCAGGGGAGACUGGAAUUCCUGGUGUAGCGGUGGAAUGCGCAGAUAUCAGGAGGAACACCGGUGGCGAAGGCGGGUCUCUGGGCAGUAACUGACGCUGAGGAGCGAAAGCGUGGGGAGCGAACAGG
rnacentral:rRNA from 1 species